rnacentral:rRNA from 1 species
UACGUAGGGGGCAAGCGUUAUCCGGAUUUACUGGGUGUAAAGGGAGCGUAGACGGCCAGACAAGUCUGAAGUGAAAAUCCAGCGCUUAACGUUGGAAGUGCUUUGGAAACUGCCGGGCUAGAGUGCAGGAGGGGCAGGCGGAAUUCCUAGUGUAGCGGUGAAAUGCGUAGAUAUUAGGAGGAACACCAGUGGCGAAGGCGGCCUGCUGGACUGCAACUGACGUUGAGGCUCGAAAGCGUGGGGAGCGAACAGG